rnacentral:rRNA from 1 species
CCACCACCCUCGUGGUGGGAAGGCCCCCAGCAGACCACUGGGUUGAUAGGCCGGACGUGGAAGCGCGGCAACGCGUGGAGCUGACCGGUACUAAUUGGCCGACAACUUGCCACAACA